rnacentral:rRNA from 1 species
UACGUAGGGUGCGAGCGUUGUCCGGAAUUAUUGGGCGUAAAGAGCUCGUAGGCGGCUUUGUAAGUUAGAGGUGAAAGCCCGGGGCUCAACUCCGGAAUUGCCUUUAAGACUGCAUCGCUAGAAUUGUGGAGAGGUAAGUGGAAUUCCGAGUGUAGAGGUGAAAUUCGUAGAUAUUCGGAAGAACACCAGUGGCGAAGGCGACUUACUGGACACAUAUUGACGCUGAGGUGCGAAAGCGUGGGGAGCAAACAGG